ACGGAAGGCAGCAGUGGGGAAUAUUGGGCAAUGGGCGAAAGCCUGACCCAGCAACGCCGCGUGAAGGAAGAAGGCCUUCGGGUUGUAAACUUCUUUUAUCAGGGACGAAGGAAGUGACGGUACCUGGUGAAUAAGCCACGGCUAACUACGUGCCAGCAGCCGCGGUAAUACGUAGGUGGCAAGCGUUAUCCGGAUUUACUGGGUGUAAAGGGCGCGUAGGCGGGGAUGCAAGUCAGGUGUGAAAUCUAUGGGCUUAACCCAUAAACUGCACUUGAAACUGUAUCUCUUGAGUGUCGGAGAGGUAGAUGGAAUUCCUAGUGUAGCGGUGAAAUGCGUAGAUAUUAGGAGGAACACCAGUGGCGAAGGCGAUCUACUGGACGAUAACUGACGCUGAGGCGCGAAAGCGUGGGGAGCAAACAGGAUUAGAUACCCUGGUA
rnacentral:rRNA from 1 species